rnacentral:rRNA from 1 species
UUAAAGUUGUUGAGGUUAAAAAGCUCGUAGUUGAACCUUGGGCCUAGCCGGUCGGUCCGCCUCACCGCGUGCACUGGCUCGGUUGGAUCUUUCCUUCUGGAGAACCGCAUGCCCUUCACUGGGUGUGUUGGGGAACCAGGACUUUUACUCUGAACAAAUUAGAUCGCUUAAAGAAGGCCUAUGCUCGAAUACUCUAGCAUGGAAUAAUA